rnacentral:rRNA from 1 species
UACGGAGGGUGCAAACGUUGUCCGGAAUUAUUGGGCGUAAAGAGCUCGUAGGCGGUUUGUUGCGUCGGCUGUGAAAUCCCGAGGCUCAACCUCGGGUCUGCAGUCGAUACGAGCAAACUAGAGUGUUGCAGGGGAGACUGGAAUUCCUGGUGUAGCGGUGAAAUGCGCAGAUAUCAGGAGGAACACCGGUGGCGAAGGCGGGUCUCUGGGCAACAACUGACGCUGAGGAGCGAAAGCGUGGGGAGCGAACAGG